rnacentral:lncRNA from 1 species
GGCGGGCGCGGAGUGACAAAGCCGCCGCCGCCGGGGGUGGGAGCUGCACCCGCCCGCCCCGCGCGGCUCCGGACCGCGUAAAAGUUUGUCUGGGCUCGCGCCCCGGAGCUGCACAACGCCCUCGGGCUGGUGUGGAAGGCACUGGCCGCGCUGUGUUGACAGAGGGAGUCCACAGGACAGAAAGGCCCCUGUUUAUCAAGCUCAUCUGGAGAGGAGCAUGCCUGAGAUCAUCGGGAGAAAGCAGGUAGAGGACACUCCAGAGACAAGGUGUGGAUAACUGAAACUAGCCUUUGAGCAACAAGUUUUCUCCCUGGCUGAUGCUGGUGGCAGUCAGCCUGCAGCACAGGUUGUGCCAGAUUUUCUCAGCAUUGCUGCUGGGAUUUCCCAAUCUCCACCUGCAAGAGGAGCCCCAGAGCUUCAUCUCCGUGGCUGCUCCCGUGCCUGGUAUGUCGCUGUGCUUCUGCUCUUCAUCCUUCUGCUUCCAGCAGAGGCUCUGGGUUAGAAUUCAGCUGUUUGCAGACAGCUAUGGAGAAGUGAAAAGAGGACUGCUUCAGUCAUGCCUACGUGAUGAUUUCUUUAGAUUCUGUAUUAUGCCUUUUUUAAAUUUUAAAGAUUUAUUUAUUUAUUUGAAAGGCAGAGUUACAGAGAGGCAGAGGCAGAGGCAGAGGCAGAGAGAGAGGUCUUCCAUCUGCUGGUUCACUCCCCAGGUGGCCACAACAGCUGGAGCUGAGCUGAUCUGA